AUUGUUCGCCACUCUCUUGGGCUUAACUUUGGUUUGAAGUUUGCAUAUUGAUUCUGCUUUCGCCUAGCAGCCUUGAGUAGCAUGCCACUGCUGGAGCUUGCAUAUGCUAUUCUAUGACAAUUCAUUAGAUUAUUGUAAUGAUAAUAUAGUAUCUAGCAGAACAUUUUGGAUGCACUAUUAGUAUAAUGAAAUUUGCCUAUGCUUCGAUCGACUAACAUUGUUGUUUGGUAGUGUCAUAACCUGCUAGCCUAGAACACUUAAGUUCAAGUUGGUAGUGAGUCCACUCAUAGCUUAUAAAACUGACUGAUUCACAAUUCACCAUGUGAGACUGAACUAGGGUGCUUUAAUCAUGCGUCAAGUUUGUCUUUCUCCAUUAAAAUUCAAAGUCUAAUUCAUAGCUUUGAAUCAUUCCAAUGUUGGCUAUACCAUUAACUUGGGAAGCUCCACCCUUAAAGCUUAAUCUAAGUUUAUAAAGAUUAUUUAUUAGUCCACAACUGAGCUUAGAAGUUUCUUUGUUAAUCCACAUCACGUGACACUGAAUUAUGGUGUUACGGGUAUUGAAUGUAUUUUAUAUAGAUCUUCCUGUAACUUCUGAGUUACUUUACUGCUAUCAGGUUGCAGCUAGUCAUACUAUAGUCAGUGCAAUAGUUGUUCGUAUGUUUGUGGAUUGGUCUAAUUUGCCUUGCCGAAAUGUUCGUUUGUCAAUUCAUAUUCUACAAUGACUUGCCAAAAGUUUAACACAAUUCGAUAUUUUCUAUUUUCUCUUAGCUUCCAUUGUUCUUUAAUCCCAUUCCGCUAGAAACCUAAGAUAUUGUUGCAUCUUCAGACUUGCUAAUUACAAACUGAUUAGACGAAUAUAACUUGUAGUUAUAUGCAUAUCCUUUGUUCCUCAUCAACUUCUUUUAUCUCUUUUACGACAUUAUUGAACUAAUUAUAGAGGUUUACUGAAUUACACAAGGAUUGUUUGAAUCCUGUUUACAACAAUUUAACAGUGGUAAAAUUGAAACCUAUUUUAGAAUACAAAGACAACAAAUUAGGUGAAGUUGCUUCAAGAUUUAGUGUUUCUCCUCCUUGUACAAACUGCUUAACCCAACAGAAAAAGUUAUGAGUAACAUAUGCCAUCAUGGUUUUACUUCAUAACAUUAGUUAAGCUUAUGAUUGAUUAUGUUAACAAUUAGUAGUUAAUUCUGGAUCAAUGUCUUUUCUAAAAGAAUCUGAGAAAAUCAAUGUUUUUAAAUAUGCUUCAUACUUGAGACAGUUUGGUGUUUUCCAUUGAACUAAUUCCAGGAUGAAAAUUGGGAGAAUUGGCAAUUAAAUUCUUCCAAUUUUGUCGCAAAAUCUAAUUGUAAGGACUACAAUAGCUUCCGAAAAGAGGUGGCAGUUUCAUUGGAUGAUGUGUUUGCCGACCCCAAUGCUACAGAUUUGGUGUAUUUAUGAACUAGGACCGUCGACUACGAUAACUCUCAUUGAUGAUGGUGUUGCUCACGGUCAUAGCUAGAAAAGAGACCUCUUGGUGGCUUCACUCUAACUCAUUGUCAUCUGAGCAAAGAAUGAACACAUGGAGUUGAACCAUCAAUGAAGAUGAAGUAACUGGAAACAGAGGCAAGUCGAGGAGCUCUCUACACCAUGCCAUUGUUGGGUCUUCCUUGCAACUCAGAUUCUAUCCACUCUCCAACCCUGCUGGAGAGGUAAAAGGCUUCAACUUCAAAUACUUGUCGGCUGGGUUUGAUUGCCCUCAUCAGGACUCUUAACUGCUGAACUUGAGCUCCAACAUUUUCAGCUCGUUCUCCUCGUAGCUUUGGCACAAAGAACGCACUAGUGCAAAUAUGUGAGCGACACAGCCAUAAAUGGGAUCUUGAAUCCUAGCUUGAGCCUCAUAGGAGAUGGUAAGCGCAGCUUCCGACCUGUCUGAGACCGGGAGGUGCAUGAGGAGCUUUGAGGCAUUGCUCGCUCCG